CUUUAUGAAGCAGAAGACACUUGCUGUGAAAACGAAAAUGGAUGCCGCGCCAUGAAAAACAGUUCUGAGUUCAUUUUAAAGAUAUUUGCAGGGUUUUGUCCACUGAACCACUGGUGGGGAUGGCAGCACCUACCCCUGCACAGAGACCCCGAAUAGACCUGCCCGGACCAUUAUUAGAAGAGUGGACAGCACUGUGCACCUGACCGGAGAAGUUCCUCGUAAAUGUUACAUUGCGAGGCAGAGAUCGUCGCAGGGUUCGAUUAAAGCUCUCGACCUUCUGAGAGUUGCUGUUUUUGAUCGUCUUGGCCAGGACAGCUGGAGACAAUCUUUUUGAGAUACAAGCAUGGAGCAAGUUCUCAUUCUCGGCCGAACAGGAAGCCCAUCCUGAUAGAGGGAAUGCGCCGCUCGGGUCAGUGGUUACCUCCCGUACCUCGAGGCCAGUCUCACUGAGGAGUUCUGCCAUUCCCUCCUUAGCCCAGGUGAACUCAUCCCCUAUGGUGUGAUGCAUUGGAAGGUUUGCCCCACAUACCCCAGGACUACAACAGUGGUCAACAGUGCCCUCAUCAAGGACUUGCGUGAAGGGGGAGGGGUGUUGGUUGAAAGUAGAAUUUUCCUCAACCCAUCAUUUCCUAAAGGGGUUUGACUUAGGCCAACUUGUAAACCAUAGUUUACAGUGGCAGCCUUUCUCCCUGGGGAUUUGGUCUCUACCUCCUCAUACAAAUUGUACAGGCCAGACAGGAACGGACAUUCGGAGCAUGUCAUCCUCAUCCGGGUGGCAAGGCCACGCCUCUCCUCAGUGUCUAGAUCCCAAGUCAGGAUACCCCGACAGUCUGGACUUCCUUGCUGGUGGAGGCGGAACACCUCGUUAAACAUGGCCACUGUCUUGCCGAGAUGUAGCAGCCUGUGCGAGUCCUGGUUUACCCUAAGAAGAGUCAGAGAACUUCCUGGGCGUAACAAAUGGUGGCACCAUGGCCGCGGGAGCAUUUCCUGUUUUUCUGAAGCUGAAGGAGGGUCCUUCACUAACUGAUCCAUUUCAGGAGGCAGUCUUUCAUAUGGAGCAGUCAAAAAUCAGAUCCAAAUAUCAUCAGAAUUGUCAGAGUCUUUCACUCCUGGUAAUGUCAAUGUCCAUAGAUGGUGCAGCUCAUUCACAUGGUGACAGAUCUCAUGACACAGAAAUUCCAGAACUCAAAUUUCCUACAUGUGCACAGGAUGUUGUCCACUAAGCUAAUGGUGGGGAUCGUAGCAGCUACCCUGCACACAGACAUUGAAUGGAGCUGUCUCGUCCAUUAUCAGAAGAGUGCGUCCGAUCAGAGAAGUUUCUUGAGGAGCAUCACGAGGGACUUGUGUGAAUGGGCAGAAGACAUUUUCUUAACUCACCACUCCAUCAUUGCCUGAUGUUUGAGACUGAACACUUUAUUGAAAAUUGAUGGGAUGUAGCAAUCAAUGGGUGUCAUCAUUUGCCCUGAGAAGACUAAGAGAACUCCCUGGUCCUCAUGAGAUGGUGACACCCUGCAGUAGGAGCAGUUCUUACCGGUAUCUCUUAAAAGAAGACAAAGGUUUUCUUAGCAUCUGAUCCAUUUCUGGAGACAAACUUUUGAAUGGUGCUGGGUAGCAGUUACUCGAGAUGUCUGGCUGAUUGACGAAGAUAAUUGCCCUGCGCCUGACAUUCUUGUAGGCCUUGGAUACCUCUAUCACUGUAAAAAAUGUCAGGACGGUGGAGAUUUAGAUAAGUGGUGUGAUGUUAUUGAUGGUAAACAGAAGACUGUGACCUUGAAUCUGAAGAUCUGUGAUGAAGACUGGACGUUUGGGGUCACUCUCUGUUACAGUACUACAAAUCUAACAGUGCCACACUCAGCCACAAAGAGGUUGUCUCUGAUGUCCACACAUAAACCCCAUGGAUAGCGUAAAUGACAGUGAAUGUAACGGAGGAACUGUCCGUCCUGAUCUAGGAUGUGGAUACGGUGAUUGGGACGGUCUGCUGUCAGGAUGUGACUCUGGCUGUCUGUAGUGAUGCCGCGUGGAUUAAAUGAUUGCUUGGUAUUAGAGGGAUGACCAGUGUAUCUAAAUCGGAGUUUUCCUGACUGAUUGACCACCACUACUGCACUAGCUGUAUAGUCAGCCACACAGAUAUCCAGGUUCUUGUUCUCACUGAGGUAUUUAAUGUUAUUAUAAACACCAGAUGAGUAGAGAGGACGACCCUGAUCAUCAAACUGAAUGCUUUGUUUCUCUGUGGAGCCGGAGUAACGCACGACUUUGGAUUGUUUGUAAUCAUCACUGAUCAUGGUAACCAGGAGGUCGUUACCCGCGGUACAGCAGACAGAGAGAGGUCUCCACCCCUGUAGUGUGAUCACGGUCUGUAUCUGUUUAUUCUUAAUUAAGUUCACGGUGUUAUUCCAAUAGUUAGUAUAAACAAGAUCUCCGUCCCGUGUCACUGCUAUGUCCUCUGGUCUGUUCCCUGACUUGGUUUGUAUUGAUGUCAGUAGUUUACUCUGGAGGUUGAGCAGCUUCAUGGUUUCGUUAUCCCCGUGUGUCCAGACUUGAUCUUCACUCAGACAGCUAACACUGUAUAGAUCUCUAUACCCAGUGUCUAUGGUGGCGGUGACGCGCGGCUCAUCAAGCAGUGGUUUGACUGGAGGAGAAGAUACAGCUUCUGCUGACUUCAUUGUGUCGCCAUGUUCUGUGUUAAUGGAUAAUGGCGGCAGAGAACCAAACAUUUCAUUGAGCUGAUCUUUGUUUAUUUUCUGAGGAGAGAAACUCGGUAAUGUAACUCGGACUUUAGGCGGUAAUGUUCUAAAUUGGGAAUUCCUAGAUUUAUAAGUAGAGGUUAAGGAGACAUCAUUUGAUUUUAGGAUUGAUUUCAAGUCGGACAUGAUCUGUUUGAGUUCCGCCAUUUUCUGUGUGAUUUCUUCUGUAUUUUUAUUUAGUGCGUCCAGAUGUUUAGUUUUCAUCUCCGCAAUGGCGGAUUUCCGUCGGUUGACAAUGGCGGUAAUCUCCCGGUGUAAGAUUUCUCCUUGUUGGUCAGCAAUUGUGGUCAGUUUCCCGUAUUUCGUUUCUAACUCGGCUUUUUCAGUUUGCACAUGGGAGGCCAUUUCUUCAUAUCGCGGGUAAAUUCUUGUCUCGAGUUCUUUUAGAUCUUUUUGUAAACUUUCUGUUUUAGCGCUGAGUUUUUCCAAAAUAUCU